rnacentral:rRNA from 1 species
GACGAACGCUGGCGGCGUGCUUAACACAUGCAAGUCGAACGGAAAGGCCCUGCUUUUGUGGGGUGCUCGAGUGGCGAACGGGUGAGUAACACGUGAGUAACCUGCCCUUGACUUUGGGAUAACUUCAGGAAACUGGGGCUAAUACCGGAUAGGAGCUCCUGCUGCAUGGUGGGGGUUGGAAAGUUUCGGCGGUUGGGGAUGGACUCGCGGCUUAUCAGCUUGUUGGUGGGGUAGUGGCUUACCAAGGCUUUGACGGGUAGCCGGCCUGAGAGGGUGACCGGCCACAUUGGGACUGAGAUACGGACCAGACUCCUACGGGAGGCAGCAGUGGGGAAUAUUGCACAAUGGGCGGGAGCCUGAUGCAGCAACGCCGCGUGCGGGAUGACGGCCUUCGGGUUGUAAACCGAUUUCGCCUGUGACGAAGCGUGAGUGACGGUAAUGGGUAAAGAAGCACCGGCUAACUACGUG